CAUGUAGAUGUCGAGCCCAUCAAGCCUCUUGUCACACAGGUAGCAUCGGCUCAGGAAGUCGGCCCUCUCCGCAGGCAUCUCAUCAUCGGCUUUCACAAGCCAGCCGCCGCCGCCGCUGUCGCCGAACCCGAAGUAAACACGCUUGCGGACGCUGCCGCCGCCGGCGCCGGCCACGUGCGUGAUGACACAAGUGUAGCUCUCGGAGAGCUCGUCUUCCUCGCGCGCACGGCGCCUGGCCGCGGGGCCGAUGGCGAUCGGCUCGGCUCCGGCCAGACAGGGUCGGCUCAUGUCUGCAACGAUGCCGAGCCCGACCCCGCCGGCGUCGAAGCUCCGCCUCGGCCUGGGCUCCGGGGAGGUGGCCCCGAGGAAGACGGAGAGGAGGUUGGCCAAGGACGAGGAAGCCGUCGUCAGCUUGGCGACGGAGCUCCGUCCAGCCGGCGAGACCUUCGGCUCCUCGGUUGCCGGCUCAUGAGACCACAUCAUUCUCUUGCCAAAUCAAGCGUGUCGAUGAGAGAGUGAGAGAGAGAGAGAGAGAGAGCGAG
rnacentral:lncRNA from 1 species